CGUAUUAGGAGUUGGUGGUAUGUGUGUUGGUGUUUCUGGGGUUUGUUUUCCUUUUUCGGCACAGGUAGGCGGGGGGCGGUGUUUGACGGCAUGCCGGCACACCUGCGGCGCAUCGGCCGUCAUCAGUGGGAGCAUUUAGGGAGCUGAGUGAUGGACGUCUGAUGUCGGAUUAUUGUCGUUCCCAUAAGUGGUAACAGUGCUGUUGCAAGUUUAGCCUGUUGGUUCCGAGCGCCUGAGCUACAUGUUUUAAGAUUCAUCUCCUGUCUGCUUUUUUCUCUGCACCAGCUUGUCUCGCCACCUGCUCGCCUGCCUGUUUCUUUGUGCGCUGGCCCAUUUUUGGAUCUAUGACAGAGACUUACCUGGCGUUGGCCUGCGAUCGUUGUUACUCCUGUAUCCUGGUGUUUCAAGUAGCUCUGGUUUGCCCAUCUAUCUGUCUGCAUACCUCAGCUCCGUUCCAUUCCCCCUCGGCUCUGUUUAUUUGCACAUUUACCUGGUCAUUGUAUAUAGCCCCGUCCCCCUGUAAAUAUUUCCUGACCACUGUUAAUAAAUCUGCUUCACCGCUGUUCUGUGCCUGUG